rnacentral:lncRNA from 1 species
GUUAAACAAGUGCUUGAAGGCAGUAUGCUUGGUAAAAGUCAUCGCCAUUCUCUAAUCUUGAGUACCCAGGGACACGAUACACUGCGGAAGGCUGCAGGGACCUCUGCCCAGGAAAGCCAGAACAAGCCCUGUGAAAAACAAGCUGCUGUCCCUGCUAGAGGCAUCCUGCAAUCCAUGGAUGUUUAUCACCAAGCCAUUGUUAACAUGAGGUGGUUUCCAAAAGGAAAAGCUUUGGGAGAUAGAAGUCCUCGUUUUGACCUCUGCCCUCCUUGUACACCAGGAGCCAGAAAAACUUCAUCUCUUUUACAAGAAACAUUGAGAUUCCUGUAAAAUUAAGAAAUCACACAAUUUGAUGGUCUACAUUAUCUAAAGCAAAUGAGACUUCUAUUUGGAACAAAGACUACCUUGUUGGGAAAUGAGUCUGCAAGUUAAAGUGUUUUCUGUUUUCUAAGGAUAAUGGUCUCCAGCUUCGUCAAUGUUCCUGCAAAGGACAUGAUGCUGACUUUGAAGAUGCAAGCUUCCACAUCUACAGCCUCAAGGAAACAAAUUCAGCCAACCAACUGAGGGAGCUUUCCUUGUCCUGCCUCAAGAUGAGAUCACAGUCUGCCCAACACCAUGAUUUAGGCCUUGUGACACCUGGUAUGGAAGACCCAGUUAAGUUCUCUCCAAACUCUUGACCCACAGAACCUGUGAGAAAAUAUAUGGAUAUUAUUUUAAACUGCUAAAUUUGUAGUAAUUUGUUAUGCAGCAAUAAAAAAAACUAAUGCAAGGAGAUAUCAAUUAUUGUAAAAAGCUUAGCUUUUGUUUUAAAAUAUAGUUCACCAGUAGUAAGUUACUAAUAAGUAACUAAACAAAUAAAAGCAAGCCAUUUACAAAUCAAUAAUAAGAGUAAGUCAUGAACUAAAGAUUGUAAUUAAUCAAUUUCUGUACGCCUGUAAUGAAAAUAAAGGAGGAAAAGAAAAUGAAAG